UUUCUUUCCCCUCUUGCCGUGUAGCCAUCUCCUAGGGUCACCAGCGCGAGACCCACCCGCUUGGCCCAUGCCUCGAGCACCGCCUCGGCGCGCCUGCAGCCACGCCCCUCCUCAGCGGCUUCCUGACCUGCGCCCGCCGCGCCGUGGAUGCCGAGUCGCCACGGCGUGACCCAAUCACACCGCUUGCGUGGCUUCCGUAGCCCCUAGGCACACACUUCCCUUCAAAGCCACUGGUUCAUCCCAUUUCCUCUACAUAAGCGUACGCCUCUAGGGCUUCCUUCCUGUCCUGCACUCGUGCCUGCAUGUAUCGCUUAGUUGUGGAGAAAAAUGGAAGAGGAAGAAGGGACUCAUGAAGUGUACCGAAUGGGUACCUCAUUUGUGGCACCUGGUGAAGCAAAAACAAGGCUUCCACCACCAGUGGAGUUGUCUCCUUCAAUAGUAAACAUAUGCAAAGCUUACAGUGGUUUAACUGAUGAUACCGAAAUGUUUGAUGAUGAUGAAGAUGCCGACUAUAAAAUUCAUGAUGAUGAAGAAGAAGAUGACGAUGAAGAAGAAGAGGAGGAUUUUGAGGAUGAAGCGGAAGAAGCAGUAACAGAAGGGCUUCAGAUAAUUGAUACUGACAUGGGAUCAUUUUUUGAGCCUAUGAGAAAGUUCUUGUCAAAGGUAUGGAAAGAGUAUGAACCAAUCCGUGUUGAUGGAGUAGUGGUUGCCGCUGAGUGUAAGCAUUGUGCAUGAAAAAUCUGUGCUGAGCGUAAACAUGGAACAACCUCAUUGCGCAAGCAUUUGAAAAGGUGCAAUGAAAGGAAGAAAGCUCUUCGAGUAGCUGGCCAUUUAAGUGCUUCUAUCAUGAUCCCAGAUGGAGUAGCUCUAGGGCCUUGGACCUUUAACCAGGCUGUUUCACGUAAAGAGCUCAUGAGAAUGAUCAUGUUGCAUGAGCUAUCAUUUUCACUUGUGGAGUAUGAAGGGUUUAGAAGAUUUGUCCCAGUUUAAACCCAACCUUCAAGAUAAUUUGCAGACAUACAACACACAAUGACUGUCUGAAAGCAUUUGGGGAACAGAAGCUAGUUCUGCAAGCUUUGCUCCGUAAGUCAAAAUCCAAAAUUUCUAUGACAAUGGACUUAUGGAAAUCCAAUGUAAUGGUUGCGUACAUAUGCAUUAGUGUUCACUAUAUUGAUGAUGAGUGGAAGUCACAGAAGAGAAUAGUGAAAUUCACAGCUCUGGAGACGCCCCACACGGGAGUGGCAAUGUUCAGCACGGUAGAGAAGUUCAUAAGAGAGUGGAAGAUCGAAGACAAACUAUUUUCUGUGACCCUUGAAAAUGCAUCAAAUAAUGGGGGCGAUGAUGAAGUUAUUGAAAACCCAUUUGCUCAAUAAAAACAUGCUAAUAUCUGGUGGCAGGAUGUUCCAUCAAUGCUGUGCUGCUCAUGUAAUCAACUUGAUAUGUCAAGUAGGGCUGGAAUAUCUUGACCCAAUGAUCAUCAAGAUACGGGAGUCUGUGAAGUAUAUAAAAAGCUCAGCUGUUCGAAAGGAAAAAUUUGAGAAAAUAGUUGCACAACUAGGCAUAACUUGUACAAUACCAUACAUUGACUCUUAUGGUGAGAGAUAUACUAGCAGUUCCUGCUUCUACAAUAGCAUCAUAGUCUGCAUUUAGUACUGGGUCUAGAGUUCUCUUGGAUUUUCAAAGUCGGAUGACCCUAGAUAUUGUUGAAGCUCUAGUGUUCCUCCAAGAGAUAAGAGCUACAAGUAAUACUCAACGCAUAAUAGAUUCAAUUCAUGACAUCAUCUUGGCUGAAGGUGAUGAGGACGCUGAUGAGGCAUGACCCGCUUGAUUAACAUCCAGGAGAUGAUUCUCUAAGAACAACUAGUAGGAAGAGAGCAGCACCUGAGUGUUGAACUCGUGGCUCUGGAGUUGGAGUCUGAACUCUGUAGUCUGAACAUGCUGUCUUUUUCGCAAGCCGUCUGUGUAAAUCUUCAAGUAGUUUCUUCUAUCAUACUCGUAGUGUUUUGCCCAUCAUGCUAGAGAAGCAAGAACCAAGAGUUGAUCGGUGCUGUUAGAAUCAUGUAAUGCUAGGAGCUGUGUCAGAACUUUUUUUGAAUGGAAGUUUGGCUAUGCUACCGAGGGAGGUUUCUCUA